CUCAAUCCGGGAGUAGAGAAGCACGGGGGAAAUGAUGAGAGAGCCAUGGAAAGUGCAUUUAGACAGCCAGGUGGAGAGGAAAUGCUUUUAUGGAACUAUUUCAUGAGGUGCCUCGUAUGAGUGACUUUCUAGAAACUGGAUGAGUAGCUGAAAGAGAAUGAAGUAUUUGGGGUGAAUCGUGAAGUCUGACAAGUGAGGAGAGUAGAGAGGUUUGGAUGGAGUAUUCCUGGUUGGCAUGAUUGCCAGACGGGUGUGUUUCUUCUGGAUAUCUGCUUCGUGUCUGCUGCAUGAACUUCCUCUCUUUGCUUUUAAGAACAUCUUACUAUAUCUCACCUAUAUUUUAGCUCUGAUGUCUUAUUUAAAUGACAUGUACUGUACUUGCUUUA